AAUAAUAACUUACCAUACAUAAAAUGAAUUUCUUUUAAUAUAAAUAUGUGUACUUGCAACAGUGUCCACUGUCCAGACAUACUGUGGUACAAUUUGGAGUGCAUAAUCCAAAUAUCAUUACUCGCAAGAAAAAAUGGUGAAGAAAAUUCUCCAAUUGUCAUCUUUGGCUAUCAUCUUCCUCCUCCUUACAUCUUGUAAGUAACACACAUUUCAUGUUCACUUCCUAAAUUUAACACUAACUCCAUUUUAGUCAAGUAAAAAAAAUCUGAGAUGUCCAUAUACUGAUUUACACAUAUAUGUAGGUGUUAUAUCAUCACCAUCGUCAAAUGUUAUCAGUGACGGCGUAAAGACUAAUGUACUUCAUUGUACACAAGAUAAAGAUUGUUACCAACUUUCUUGCGUGGAAGGGAAACCCCCAAGGUGCUUGAAUAGUGUUUGUCAAUGUGAGCCGGGCGCGAAAAUAUGAACAACUUGAUAAUCGAUCGAAAUUGACAUGCGGAAAAGAUUGAUGCAAAUAGCAACACCCUUUAUAUGUUGUUGGAUCAAGUAAUUAAUAAAAGCGAGCUUCUAUACUAAACUAUGAAUCUAUAUAUCGCUUAUUCAGUCGUUU
rnacentral:lncRNA from 1 species